GACGAACCGUGCGAACGUUAUUCGGAAUCACUGGGCUUAAAGCGCGUGUAGGCGGCCGGCACGUCCGGUGCUGAAAUCCCCCGGCUCAACCGGGGAAGGGGCACGGAUACGACCGGCCUGGAGGGGGGUAGGGGGCGCCGGAACUCACGGUGGAGCGGUGAAAUGCGUUGAGAUCGUGAGGAACGCCCGUGGCGAAAGGCGGGCGCCUGGACCCCGACCUGACGCCUGAGACGCGAAAGCCAGGGAGGCGAACGGG
rnacentral:rRNA from 1 species